rnacentral:rRNA from 1 species
UACGUAGGGGGCGAGCGUUGUCCGGAUUUAUUGGGCGUAAAGAGCGUGUAGGCGGCCAGGUAGGUCUGCUGUGAAAACUCGAGGCUCAACCUCGAGACGUCGGCGGAAACCAUCUGGCUAGAGUCCGGAAGAGGAGAGUGGAAUUCCUGGUGUAGCGGUGAAAUGCGCAGAUAUCAGGAAGAACACCCGUGGCGAAGGCGGCUCUCUGGGACGGUACUGACGCUCAUGCACGAAAGCGUGGGGAGCAAACAGG